GUUCUGUUCUUAGCGGCUCCACUGCUUGCUUAGAAAGCAAGAAGUUACCACUUAAGUCUGUGUUUCUCUUUCUCUUCCUCAUUUGCACCUUCCCUAGGGAGCCUGUGGCUUUGUGAUGGUUGGAAUUCCCAUAAAUGUCUCACAUGUACUGGGCGCAGCUAAAACUACCGUUAAUCACCCGGCGUGAUUUGUUGUCUGUUACCACCAGGGCGUCUGGAUGGCACCGACAAAGUAAACUCUGGUCCCAUCGAGGAACAGCAACCGGAACCUCUGAGCAACGUUACACGCUGAAAAUGCCAAUUUUUGAAGAACAUCUGGAUCGUGCAACAAGGCAGGCCUGUCGUUCGGGGAAUGAUUGUAAAGAUUUACAAAGAAUAUGUUUACGGUAUUCACUCUCUAACUGGGACAUUCUGGGACCUAUAGGCGGGGAUCUGCUAUGGACAAAAUACACAUGGCAAUAUACUGGUAAUAACCAUGUAUCCAGCUAAUUUAAAUAGCUCAUUUACGUACUAUAUUUACGUUUACGUUACUGUAUUGUGUGAACAGUUAACUUCAUUUAAUAUUAUAUGAGGCGUUUUCUUUUGCGGGUGCAAAUGUUGCACCAAGACAAGUUCCUUCCCGAGACUAUUUUGCAGAGCCACGCUUGCUGCGUCCGGAGCUUAGCGCCGCCCACGACAAUUGUGAUUGGUUUAAAGAAAUGCAAACAACCCCUGACCAUUUUUUUUCUCCUAUCCAGGAGUGUAUGCGCCUGUUGCCAGACCUUCCUCCGCAGCGCUGUGGAGAUAGGCCUGGCAAUGCAAGACUACCCAUAAGUCUCCCCUUUACAGACAUGCCCACUUAAUGCUAAUCCCAUGCAGUUUGGGCAAUAACCAUGCAGUUGUCUCUCAUGCAGUAUAAAUCUGUUAUUUUCACCUAUUCUAAAAUGGUGUAUUCAAAUAUAUCUGCAUUUUGGGGUCUUGGAGCUGCUUAAAUUGUGUAUGACUGCAAAGCUGAGACUCUUGUAGAUGCAAUGAGAGCAAUUGUAUUUCUGUGCGAUGAUGAUAGUCCCCAUAGUAGCCCUUUCAAUUUAGUUAGACCAUUUUCUAAAAUUUGAGUCAAUGUAUAAAAUGACCUGUUGUGACCUAAUCACAUGGAACUUGGCCUUCAUAUUAACCAUAAGUGGAUGUCUCAGCAGUUUCCAGAACAGAAGUGCUCCCCAGCCAAUUGCCAAAAAAUGCAAUUCUUGCAGAAAUCUCCAAAUGAUAAAAGUUUUUGAUACCAGACCAUUUUUCUAUGGUGUUCCUCAAGGUCUUGGUGUCUUAAUGUGGUAUUUUUUACCAUUUUCAGUCAUUCUCGGGUGGUAAAAAAUGGUUAGAUUUUGCACCAAAUCUGUGUAACAAAUGGUAUCAACCCAAAGACUUCCGCAACAACUUAUGAGACAUAAUUGAGCAUGAGAAUGGCCGUCAUAAAUUCAUACCAUAACGUAAUAAACCCCUAUACACUUUCAGGAUGUAUUUAAAUAAAUGAAUGAAUUAACUGACUAAUAUUUAUUUCUGAUGUAUGACUUGAAAAACUUGACACAGUGCUGAGCUGCAUGUCAAAUCCUCAGGUUCCCAGCUUUCAAAUGCUGUGUACCACUUUUAUGUGGAGUUUACUGUUGACCUGCUAUUACCCCCUAAACAUCCCCUGUCACCCACCCUACCCCUCUAGAAAAAGGGGGGGGGGAAAGCUAAGGGGUUAAAGUUUCAUUCUCAACUGGAAAAAUGUAUAAAGUCUUUGGCUUUUGUGUCCAAAAACAAAAGAGUUCUGCUUUAAAAGAAACAUUCAAACAACUGGAGAAGGUCAUUUCAGGGAUACUUCAGUUAUUUGUGGGACUGUGGUCUCUAGUUCCUCCCUGUGGUGCAACAUCUGUAUUGCACCACAUUCAGCAGCAGUGGUAGUGAAGGGAGGAGCUGGCUGUGGCUGUGGUCCUUUAAGAUGUGCACUGCUAAGGCUCAGAGCAAAGAUCCUACUUAGCUCAGGCAUGUGGGUCAGGAAACCAUGUCGGGGCGAACCAUGGAUGGCCAUUUUUGGUGCCAGACUGGCACCACCCAGGUCUGGCUGGCUUCCUCAGACAGCUCACUGCUUGGUACCUUAGUGCCAUUACAGUCUCAUAGUAGGAUCUGGGCCACAUAGGGGGAGUGAGUACUGGCCACUGCAGCCAACAGGGGAAGGUCGCUGGACUCGAUUCUGCAAUGACACCAGAGCAAAGAUCAGGAUAUGUUAAGUGCCCUACUUAAAAUGACUUAAAAAACUAAUUAUGAA
rnacentral:lncRNA from 1 species